CCUGGGAUCCUAAAUAUCCCAGAGGCACCAGAUUCUGUCUGAUCUUGGAAGCUAAACAGGAUCAGUUCUUGUUAGUAUUUAGACUGGAGACCUCCAGUACAUACCAGGUGAUGUAAGCU
rnacentral:rRNA from 11 species